rnacentral:lncRNA from 1 species
GGCCCCGUUCUGAACCAGUUGACCAAAAAUCCCGAGCAAAGUGCUCCAGUGAGAGGAGGGAGAGACAGCUGUCAGCUGGAGCUGCUGAAUGCAGCGCGAAGGACGGAAGGAUGCUGAUUUGAGCUGGGCGUGAUUUGGAAGAUCCAGGGAAGGACAUUCCAGGUCCCGGACAGCCAAAGCGAAGUCUCACAGGAUUCUGCCCUGCCCUUCAGCUCUGCAUCUGAUGGCCAGCAUCUGGGGGAUCUUGUUUUCCUAAGAUUGUUGGAAUUCCUGUUAUCAUCAUAUGAAGUCUUCCCCUGGCGUCAUCAGCUUCCUGUAUCCAGGAGCUGUUCUAACUAAGGAACCUCAGUGCAGACACCUGAAUAUCACAUUCUCUGCCUGAAGAAUUCUCCGAUCUUGGUAGAGUGUGGACCCUUUUGAGAUCUUGCUUUUUGGCAUGAUCAUUUCUGACAUACCUCUGUGUCCAUUGGUGUAAUUUUUUGUUUUUGGAAACAGACUGAGCUGCUUCUGCCCAGAGCCAUCAAGGCUGUACCUGAAACUGUCUCCUGACCUUGGAGUGCUCAAGUUCACAUGGACUCUCCACUUUGUUCUGGAGAUAUGUGGGCUCCGGCUCAGGCAGCAUCAAGACAAGCCAGGCCUGCAGACCUCCCCAAGGGACAAAAGCCCUCCUCCUCACCCACGAAGGUGGGCUCAUCCUGCUGGAUAUGAGACCUUCCCUUUACCUCUGCUAUCUUUUCUCUGUGUAAGAUUCACAUGACUCCCGCUCAGUCAUGGAUGUGGGCACGCCUCCGUGCCCGGGACCUCCACCGUCUCUUCCCCAGUCCUGCUGCAACUGCUCCGUAGCCCAGGCCCCACGACAUAACCGUCCCUGUGGCAGCAGCUGGUAGAUAAGACCAAAGGAUAUGACCAAAGAUUGGAAGGGUUAGGCCUCUCAGGAGGAUUGCCCCAGGGGCACGAUGCUGGCAGGUUAUGAGAACGAGAUGCCUCAGGGUAAGGACCCAGCCUUCACUUACUAAUCCUGUAAAUGAUGGAGAAGGGAAAUCCAGCGUUUAAAAAUAUCCCACCACGGAGUUCCCGUUGUGGCACAAAGGGAUUGGCAGCAUCUUGGGAGCUCUGGGACACAGGUUCUGUCCCAGCCCGGCACAGUGGGUUAAGAAUCCAGGGUUGCCGAAGCUGUGGCUUAGGUUGCAACUGCGGCUCAGAUCAGAUCCCUGGCCUGGGAACUCCAUAUGCUGCAAGGCAGCCAAAAAAAGAAAACAAACAAAAACUAUAUAUAUAUGUGUGUGUGUGUGUACAAAUCCCACUGCUUGCUCCAUGAGUCCCCUAAAAUGAAGAUAAGACUCCAGCCAAGAAAUUAAGUUGAUUUGGGAAAAACUAAAAAUCCCUCCUUGGUGUUAUAACUUCAAGUUCAGUUUACUGUUAUUAUGUAGUGCUUUCUAGCAAUAUUUUCCCAUUUAUAUUAUUUUUAAAAGAAAUGGAAUUUCCCUGGUGGCCUAACAGGUUAAGGAUCCCGCAUUGUCACUGCUGUGGAUAAGUGACAAUGCUGUGGUGUGGGUUUGACCCUUGGCCCAGGAACUUCUGCAUACCAUGUCCAAAAAAGCCCAUUAUUGCCUUAGAGAUUUCCAAUUAUCUCUCCUGUUUGAUUAACAAAAACUGGUUAAUUAGGUUUCACUGUAUGAGCUAAGGAGUUUCAUUAUUCUGUUUGCCUAAAAUCUAAAAUUUGUACUACACAUUUGCAUAUAUAUCUCUUACAUAAAUGUAUUUGUAUAUUUG